rnacentral:rRNA from 1 species
UACGGGGGGGGGCAAGCGUUGUUCGGAAUUACUGGGCGUAAAGGGCGCGUAGGCGGUUUGCUAAGUUGAAUGUGAAAACUCUGGGCUUAACCCAGAGCCUGCAUUCAAUACUGGCAGGCUGGAGUUCUGGAGGGGAUAGCGGAAUUCCUGGUGUAGCGGUGAAAUGCGUAGAUAUCAGGAGGAACACCGGUGGCGAAGGCGGCUAUCUGGACAGAAACUGACGCUGAGGCGCGAAAGCUAGGGGAGCAAACAGG